rfam:Gossypium raimondii chromosome 8, whole genome shotgun sequence.
UAGCGUUGAUGAACAUCAUUUUGUGUACCAGAGGAGUUUCUGGUGAUGGUCACACAAUCCCUCUAAGAAGUUCUGAGCUU